UACAGAGGUCUCAAGCGUUGUUCGGAUUUAUUGGGCGUAAAGGGCGCGUAGGCGGCGGGGUAAGUCGGGUGUGAAAUCUCAGGGCUCAACCCUGAAACUGCACUUGAUACUGCUCUGCUUGAGGACUGGAGAGGAGACUGGAAUUCACGGUGUAGCAGUGAAAUGCGUAGAUAUCGUGAGGAAGACCAGUGGCGAAGGCGGGUCUCUGGACGACAACUGACGCUGAGACGCGAAAGCGUGGGGAGCAAACAGG
rnacentral:rRNA from 1 species